rnacentral:rRNA from 1 species
CCUACGGGCGGCAGCAGUGAGGAAUAUUGGUCAAUGGACGAGAGUCUGAACCAGCCAAGUAGCGUGAAGGAUGACUGCCCUAUGGGUUGUAAACUUCUUUUAUCUGGGAAUAAAACAGGGUAUGCAUACCCUCUUGUAUAUACCAUAUGAAUAAGGCUCGGGUAACUCCGUUCCCGCCGCCGCGGUUAUACGGAGGAUCCGAGCGUUAUCCUGUUUUCAUGGGUUUGAAUGGAUAGUAGGUUGAUUGUUAAGUCAGUUGUGAAAGUUUGCGGCUCAACCGUAACAUUGCAGUUGAAACUGGCAGUCUUGAGUACAGUAGAGGUGAGCGGAAUUCGCGGUGUAGCGGUGAAAUGCUUAGACAUCACGAAGAACUCCGAUUGCGAAGGCAGCUCACUGGACUGCAACUGACACUGAUGCUCGAAAGUGUGGGUAUCAAACAGGAUUAGAUACCCCGGUAGUC